rnacentral:misc_RNA from 1 species
CGCAUAUUGCGCCCGCCAGUAUUCUGGCGGGCAUGCCUGUUCGAGCGUCAUUUCAACCCUCAAGCUUUGCUUGGUGUUGGGGACCAGCCCGUCAAGGGCUGCCCCCGAAACUCAUUGGCGGUCUCGCUGUCGGCUUCCAUCGCGCAGUAGCACAAUCUCGCCCUGGAAAAGCAGCGCGGCCCUGCCGUAAAACACCCCAAUUUUUAUCAAGGUUGACCUCGAAUCAGGUAGGAAUACCCGCUGAACUUAA